rnacentral:lncRNA from 12 species
CUAUCCUCCAAUUUGAUGGUGUUGGGAGAUGGGACCUCUGGGUGGUAAUGAAAUAAUAAGAAUAGAACUUUCAUGAAUGGCAUGAGUGCUCUUAUGGGGAAAAAAAAAGAGGGCGUUCUCUCCUUCCCUCUCACCACUAUGCUCUCCAUAUGUGAGGACACGAGAGAAGAUGGCCAGCUGUGAACUAGGAAGACAGUCCUCCCCAGACACUGGGUCUGCUGCGGCUUUCAUCCUGACUUCCAAGCCUCCAGUUCUGGGAGGAAUACAUUUUUGUUACUUAAGCCAUCCAGUCUACAGUAGCAGCAUGAACUAAGAUAGUAGGUAAGGGGUACCCCCACCCCAGUUUGUGAUUUGUACACAUUUUCAGGUGAGGCUGACGCUAAUGCUGCUGGUCUGGACCUGGUACUCCGAGACACACUGAUCUGGAGCACUUAUUGGUCACAUGUCCCAGUGGCUGUUUUCUUGGUUCCUAUUCUAGAAACAAACCUCUGGUUUUCCUCUGCUGUGGUCAGAGCACAGACGGUUUUUCCAGCCUCAUAGAGCAUGGGACACCAUCGUCCAGUUUCUUGAUUAUAACAGAAGAAUCGGUCAGAUGCCAAAAGAGGCCCCCGGUCCUGGGCCUGAUUCAGAAGAGAGCCAGCUGGGGGGACAGACACCCCUUCCACCAGCCAUGAAGGUCUGGGGCGUGCAAGGAGGCGACCCUCACAGGUUGGAUUGUGGCUCGCUUCCACCAACAAUGUUAUCUUGUUGCUGCCCCAUCUGUCUUGGUCUCCUUUCCUCCUUCUGUCUAACCAUCCUACGCUUGACAAUCUUCUUGGUCUGAAGCACCCAAAGCUGCCUGGUUUCUGGCCUUUGCUCUGUGGUUCCUUCUGCCUGGACACCUCUGACCCGAGCUCUUUCCUUAGCUGGCUCAGGACUCCUUGCUGAUGCCCCCUCCUUCUCUGACUGCCCUGUCCUGUAUCGAUAGCCCGACAUUGUCUCCUCCACAUCACUCUGUUGCUUAGAUCAGAUCGAUUUUGGUCUUUAAUUACCUUGUCCGCUAAUGUCUUCACCUGCCUGUGUCCCCUGGACCAGAGCAGAAACCCCAUAAAGGCAAGAACCUCAUCUGUCUUGUUCAGGGUUCCCAUCCCCAGAGCGAGCCCCCAUGCCUGGCACAUAGUGGCUGCUCAAUAAACACAAGUUGAGUGAAUCA